GAGUAAUACGUGAGUAACCUGCCUUUGACUCUGGGAUAANNCUGGGAAACUGGGUCUAAUACCGGAUAUGACAAGGAACCGCAUGGUUUUUUGUGGAAAGGGUUUGUACUGGUUUUAGAUGGGCUCACGGCCUAUCAGCUUGUUGGUGGGGUAAUGGCUCACCAAGGCGACGACGGGUAGCCGGCCUGAGAGGGUGACCGGCCACACUGGGACUGAGACACGGCCCAGACUCCUACGGGAGGCAGCAGUGGGGAAUAUUGCACAAUGGGCGCAAGCCUGAUGCAGCGACGCCGCGUGAGGGAUGACGGCCUUCGGGUUGUAAACCUCUUUCAGCAGGGAAGAAGCGAAAGUGACGGUACCUGCAGAAGAAGCGCCNGGCUAACUACGUGCCAGCAGCCGCGGUAAUACGUANGGCGCGAGCGUUGUCCGGAAUUAUUGGGCGUAAAGAGCUUGUAGGCCGGUUNGUUGCGUCUGCUGUG
rnacentral:rRNA from 1 species